rnacentral:pre_miRNA from 1 species
AAUAAACGCACUUAUAAGUUUCCGUGUCUAAUUUUUAUCGUCCGUCUUAUUUAUUUUUUAUGAUUAGUGCUUUUAUUGUUAUUAGAUUAUAAAACAUGAAUAGUACUUUAUGCGUGAGUUAUGGUUUUUUAGUUUUUUUCAAAAGUAUUUUAAAUAAGACAAACGAUUAAAGUUGGACAUGAAAAUUUAUGGUUGUACUUAUU